GGGCUAUGGGGUAGUGCUAUGGAGACGGGCUAUGGGGUAGUGCUAUGGAGACGGGCUAUGGGGUAGGGCUAUGGAGACGGGCUAUGGGGUAGGGCUAUGGGGCAGGGCUAUGGGGUAGGGCUAUGGGGCAGGGCUAUGGGGUAGGGCUAUGGACAUGGGCUAUGAAGAGGGCUAUGGGGCAGGGCUAUGGAGAAGGGCUAUGGGGUAGGGCUAUGGAGACAGGGCUAUGGGGUAGGGCUAUGGGGCAGGGCUAUGGGGUAGGGCUAUGGAGACGGGCUAUGGGGUAGGGCUAUGGAGAAGGGCUAUGGGUUGGGCUAUGGAGACGGGCUAUGGGGUAGGGCUAUGGGGCAGGGCUAUGGGGUAGGGCUAUGGGGCAGGGCUAUGGAGAAGGGCUAUGGGGUAGGGCUAUGGGGCAGGGCUAUUGGGCUAUUGGGCAGGGCUAUGGGGUAGGGCUAUGGAGACGGGCUAUGGGGCAGGGCUAUGGGGUAGGGCUAUGGGGCAGGGCUAUGGGGCAGGGCUACGGGGUAGAGCUAUGGGGUAGGGCUAUGGGACAGGGCUAUGAGGCAGGGCUACGGGGUAGGGCUAUGGGGCAGGGCUACGGGGUAGGGCUAUGGGGCAGGGCUACGGGGCAGGGCUACGGGGUAGGGCUAUGGGGUAGGGCUAUGGGGAAGGGCUAUGGGGCAGGGCUUUGGGGCAGGGCUAUGGAGACGGCCUAUGGGGCAGGGCUAUGUGGCAGGGCUAUGGGGUAGGGCUAUGGGGCAGGGCUAUGGGGAGGGCUAUGGGGUAGGGCUAUGGGGCAGGGCUAUGGGGCAGGGCUAUGGGGUAGGGCUAUGGGGUAGGGCUAUGGGGCAGGGCUAUGGGGUAUGGCUAUGGGGAAGGGCUAUGGGGUAGGGCUAUGGGGUAAGGUUAUGGGGCAGGGCUAUGGGGCAGGGCUAUGGAGAUGGGCUAUGGGGCAGGGCUAUGGGGCAGGGCUAUGGGGUAGGGCUAUGGGGCAGGGCUAUGGGGUAGGGCUAUGGGGCAGGGCUAUGGGGAGGGCUAUGGGGCAGGGCUAUGGGGCAGGGCUAUGGGGCAGGGCUAUGGGGUAGGGCUAUGGGGCAGGGCUAUGGGGCAGGGCUAUGGGGUAGGGCUAUGGGGGGGCUAUGGGGAGGGCUAUGGGGUAGGGCUAUGGGGUAGGGCUAUGGGGAGGGCUAUGGGGCAGGAUGAGAGGAGAAUAAAUUCCCUUGGCCCAAUUCUCUUUGGCGCUCAGCUGAUAUGUUUUUAUUGACUCUCUCUCUGUCGGACAUUCUGCUGGCCCUGAACUGAGAUCUGGUAUUUGACUUACACUGUUUAAUUAAUGAAAGGGAUAAAACAUGUUAAGGUUUCAGCUAGGAGCAGGGAG
ensembl:lncRNA